AUAGCCAUGCAUGUCUCAGUGCAAGCCACAUUAAGGUGAAACCGCGAAUGGCUCAUUACAUCAGUUAUGGUUCCUUAGAUCGUACCCACAUUUACUUGGAUAACUGUGGUAAUUCUAGAGCUAAUACAUGCAAAUAGAGUUCCAACCAGAGAUGGAAGGAAUGCUUUUAUUAGAUCAAAACCAAUCGGUAACGGGCUUGCCUUGUAUACCGUUUGAUUUGGUGACUCUGAAUAACUUUGGGCUGAUCGCACGGUCUUGUACCGGCGACGCAUCUUUCAAAUGUCUGCCUUAUCAACUGUCGAUGGUAGUUUCUGCGACUACCAUGGUUGUUACGGGUAACGGGGAAUCAGGGUUCGAUUCCGGAGAGGGAGCCUGAGAAACGGCUACCACAUCCAAGGAAGGCAGCAGGCGCGCAAAUUACCCACUCUCGGCACGAGGAGGUAGUGACGAAAAAUAACGAUACGGGACUCAUCCGAGGCCCCGUAAUCGGAAUGAGUACACUUUAAAUCCUUUAACGAGGAUCAAUUGGAGGGCAAGUCUGGUGCCAGCAGCCGCGGUAAUUCCAGCUCCAAUAGCGUAUAUUAAAGUUGUUGCGGUUAAAAAGCUCGUAGUUGAAUUUGUGUCCUAUACUGUCGGUUCACCGCUCGCGGUGUUUAACUGGCAUGAUAUAGGACGUCCUAUCGGUGGGUUAGCCCGUAAAAAGGCAACCCAACUCAAAAUCUCAUCACGGUGCUCUUAAACGAGUGUCGAGGUGGGCCGAUACGUUUACUUUGAACAAAUUAGAGUGCUUAAAGCAGGCUAAAUUUUGCCUGAAUAUUGUGUGCAUGGAAUAAUGGAAUAGGACCUCGUUUCUAUUUUGUUGGUUUUCGGAAUUUCCGAGGUAAUGAUAAAUAGGGACAACUGGGGGCAUUCGUAUUGCGACGUUAGAGGUGAAAUUCUUGGAUCGUCGCAAGACGGACAGAAGCGAAAGCAUUUGCCAAAUGUGUUUUCAUUAAUCAAGAACGAAAGUUAGAGGUU
rnacentral:rRNA from 1 species